rnacentral:rRNA from 1 species
CCUACGGGGGGCAGCAGUGAGGAAUAUUGGUCAAUGGGCGCGAGCCUGAACCAGCCAAGUAGCGUGAAGGAUGACUGCCCUACGGGUUGUAAACUUCUUUUAUAAAGGAAUAAAGUGAGGCACGUGUGCCUUAUUGUAUGUACUUUAUGAAUAAGGAUCGGCUAACUCCGUGCCAGCAGCCGCGGUAAUACGGAGGAUCCGAGCGUUAUCCGGAUUUAUUGGGUUUAACGGGAGCGUAGAUGGGUUGUUAAGUCAGUUGUGAAAGUUUGCGGCUCAACCGUAAAAUUGCAAUUGAUACUGGCAGUCUUGAGUACAGUUGAGGUAGGCGGAAUUCGUGGUGUAGCGGUGAAAUGCUUAGAUAUCACGAAGAACUCCGAUUGCGAAGGCAGCUUACUAAACUGCCACUGACAUUGAUGCUCGAAAGUGUGGGUAUCAAACAGGAUUAGAUACCCGAGUAGUC